rnacentral:rRNA from 1 species
GACGAACGCUGGCGGCGUGCUUAACACAUGCAAGUCGAACGAUGAACCGGAGCUUGCUCUGGGGAUCAGUGGCGAACGGGUGCGUAACACUUGGGCAACCUGCCCCUCACUCUGGGAUAACUCCGGGAAACCGGGUCGCAUACCGGAUACUCCGGCCGGACCGCAUGGUUCAGCAGGGAAAGGUCAGCUGGUGAGGGAUGGUCCCGCGGCCUAUCAGCUAGUUGGUGGGGUAACGGCCUACCAAGGCGACGACGGGUAGCCGGUCUGAGAGGACGACCAGCCACACUGGGACCGAGAUACGGCCCAGACUCCUACGGGAGGCAGCAGUGGGGAAUCUUGCGAAAUGGGCGAAAGCCUGACGCAGCGACACCGCGUGAGGGACGAAGGCCUUCGGGUUGUAAACCUCUUUCGGCAGGGACGAAGCGAUCGUGACGGUACCUGCAGAAGAAGCUCCGGCUAACUACGUGCCAGCAGCCGCCGUAAAAC